GUCCCCUUCCCUCUAGAACAUCAACAUUAAUAAGACUCCAUUCUAGGGGCUCUAGUCUAUGUGUCUUUUGGUUCCAUAUUCUAGGUCCUCCUAGAAGACAGGAUAUAACUGGCCCAACCUGGUCCAGGUCUCCUCCUCUAAACCAAAUCAGCCUUAGGGACCCUCUCCCCAACAAGGGUGAAGAUGAACCAAGGGGUUUCUACAGUACAUAUCGCUUUUUAUCUCCAGGUCUGGGACGAUGACCCAGUUGUGAUGGCCACAGCAACCAGGAAAGAUCUGGAUACAGGCAUCCAAAUCCAAAAAGAUUUGCUCU
rnacentral:lncRNA from 12 species